rnacentral:lncRNA from 1 species
AAUCAGGCUCUGCUGGAAUCUGUUAAUUUUUUUUAAAUUUAAUAUUUUACGUACAUCUCUAUUAUGCUUUCCUCGAUAUCAACCCAGGUUUUCAGGUGCACUGAAUUCUGGGUGCAUUUGGGGGCAGGGACAACUGAUAUUAGCAUACUCACACUAAUUUCAUCUUUUCACAAAUUCAGAGCAGAUUAAUUGGUAGCUCAUUAGCACCAAAGAUUCCCCCUCCCCUCCUCAGCUAUUGCCAGGGAGGAGGUGUAGGGUCCAAGUGGCCUGAAACCAUUCAGCUGUAAGGGGCCACUCUCUGUUCCUUAGACAUUCAAGGCUUACUCCUUUUGCUCAGGAUGCCCUUCGCUCUCUCGUCCCUUUUCUCAUCUUUGGAAAGGAGAAGCUGCUUCAGAGGAAGUAUCCUCCCAGACCAGGAUACCAGGAGCCAGGAUGACCUUCCUCUCUCUGGACCUCAUUGACCUCAGCUGUGAAAGGAUGGGAUUUGGCCAGAAAAUCUCCAAGAUCUCUUCUGGCUCCCCUUGUCUAUGAUUCUAUGGUUCUGCGGUUCUGCCUCCAAGCUCAUCAUUGAAAAAUGCCCUUCAGGAUUCUUGUGUCUGCCAUUCCACCAUCCUGCCAUCCCAAGGAGAGGUCCUGCUUGUGGAGCCCAGGCUGGAUAAUGCUGUAAGACUAGAAAAGUAUCAAGGAUGGUCUCAGAGAUGGAGCAAGUCUACUGUUCAAGGACUCAGCCUUGCUAACUUGUGAAAGGGGCUCAUCACCAAUAUGCUGAACCAUGGGGGAUGAGUUCUUUGGCCAUGGAAACCCAUGACACACCAAGAGGAAUAAAAACUAGGCACCAGCUCUUAUUGAGCUUUGU